GGAAUAUUGGGCAAUGGGCGAAAGCCUGACCCAGCAACGCCGCGUGAAGGAAGAAGGUCUUCGGAUUGUAAACUUCUUUUAUGAGGGACGAAGGACGUGACGGUACCUUAUGAAUAAGCCACGGCUAACUACGUGCCAGCAGCCGCGGUAAUACGUAGGUGGCAAGCGUUAUCCGGAUUUACUGGGUGUAAAGGGCGCGUAGGCGGGGAUGCAAGUCAGAUGUGAAAUCUAUGGGCUUAACUCAUAAACUGCAUUUGAAACUGUAUCUCUUGAGUGCUGGAGAGGUAGACGGAAUUCCUUGUGUAGCGGUGAAAUGCGUAGAUAUAAGGAAGAACACCAGUGGCGAAGGCGGCUGUCUGGUCUGCAACUGACGCUGAGGCUCGAAAGCAUGGGUAGCGAACA
rnacentral:rRNA from 1 species